ACCUGGGUGGUUCAGUUGGUUAAACAUCUGACUUCAGCUCAGGUCAUGAUCUCACAGUUUGUGAGUUCAAGUCCCACAUUAGGCU
rnacentral:tRNA from 1 species